GGGGGAUUAGCUCAGCUGGCUAGAGCGCCUGCCUUGCACGCAGGAGGUCAUCGGUUCGACUCCGAUAUCCUCCA
rfam:Marivirga sericea strain DSM 4125 genome assembly, contig: LX91DRAFT_scaffold00012.12